rnacentral:rRNA from 1 species
UACAGAGGUCCCAAGCGUUGUUCGGAUUCACUGGGCGUAAAGGGUGCGUAGGUGGUGAGGUAAGUCGGAUGUGAAAGCUCCGAGCUCAACUCGGAAAUGGCAUUGGAAACUACCUUGCUAGAGGGUUUGAGGGGGGACUGGAAUACUUGGUGUAGCAGUGAAAUGCGUAGAUAUCAGGAGGAACACCGGUGGCGAAGGCGGCUUUCUGGACGACAACUGACGCUGAGACGCGAAAGCGUGGGGAGCAAACAGG